rnacentral:rRNA from 1 species
AACUAACGCUGGCGGCGUGCCUAACACAUGCAAGUCGUACGAGAAAGCCGGCUUCGGCUGGUGAGUAAAGUGGCGCACGGGUGAGUAACGCGUGGAUAAUCUGCCCUUAAGUGUGGAAUAACGUACCGAAAGGUGCGCUAAUACCGCAUAAUGCCUGGCAACACAAGUUGUCCGGCCAAAGAAGGCCUCUGUUUACAAGCUUUCGCUUCAGGAUGAGUCCGCGUACCAUUAGCUUGUUGGUGGGGUAAUGGCCUACCAAGGCUGCGAUGGUUAGCUGGUCUGAGAGGAUGAUCAGCCACACUGGAACUGAGACACGGUCCAGACUCCUACGGGAGGCAGCAGUGAGGAAUAUUGCGCAAUGGGGGCAACCCUGACGCAGCAACGCCGCGUGAGUGAGGAAGGUUUUCGGACCGUAAAGCUCUGUCGAGCGGGAAGAAAUGUAUCAUGGCUAAUAUCCAUGAUACUUGACGGUACCGCUAAAGG